UGGUAAUGUCUACUACACCGUUAUCAUUGUAGGCACUCGUGCAUGCCGUGGGCCCCAGGCCUUAGACGUUUAGCGUCAAUGGUGUGUAGUGAGGGGGGGUUAAAUGCCCU
rfam:Paenibacillus pectinilyticus strain KCTC13222 scaffold5, whole genome shotgun sequence.